GUGUGGUAACGCAUGCUGGACGUAUCAGAAGUGCGAAUGCUGACAUGAGUAACGAUAAAGGGGGUGAAAAACCUCCUCGCCGGAAGACCAAGGGUUCCUGUCCAACGUUAAUCGGGGCAGGGUAAGUCGACCCCUAAGGCGAGGCCGAAAGGCGUAGUCGAUGGGAAACGGGUUAAUAUUCCCGUACUUCUUACAAUUGCGAUGGGGGGACGGAGAAGGCUAGGUGGGCCUGGCGACGGUUGUCCAGGUUCAAGUGCGUAGGCUU
rnacentral:rRNA from 1 species